UUCAGUGGUGCACAUGGUGCAGGUUGGAACAGGAGGUGAAAAGGAGAGAGUGCUCAUAUGGAGCCUCCUGUAUUUAUACUGUUUGGUUUUUCCUCCCAGGCAGGAUAUCCAGUCACUGACCAUUCAGUGCCUUCUAGGCCAGAGGGAAGUGUGCCGUAGCCAUCGCAGGCUCCAGGGGCGUGGUGUGGGCGGGCUACAGGCCGGCCUUCCUUGACUGACAGCCCAGCUAUAUUCAGUGAUACCGUGUGCUCUGCACGGGCACAGCCGUGUUGGCUGCAGCCCUUCCGGCUCUCCAUGUGCUCUCUGGGGCCUGGCCCUGUUGGCUGCAGGCCAUGUGCUCUCAGCAGGCCUUAGGCCCCUUCCCCACACACACAUACUCACUCACAGUGAGUUGGAUCCAAGUUGUAUCAAUAAUUCAAUUAGAUUUGAAUCCAAUAUCUUACGCAUAAUGCAAGAGCUUUCAUAUCAUCUGACUUUGGGCACCAAACUAAAAAGCUAAGGUUGCUCCUAAACAUUUUGAGAGAAUUAAUAGUUGUAAUUCUCAGGUUAUAGGAAGAAAGAACACACAUACACACAGAAAAGAGUAGUGGAAGUUCAUCACCUACUCAGUUGAAGAAGCUUAAAACUCUACUGAAUUAAAGACACUAAAAAUGUAAAUUUGAAAUAAAGUAAGUUUUAAACAUGA